GCCCAGGUGGUGAAAUUGGCAGACACGCAGCGUUCAGAGCGCUGUGACCGUAAGGUCGUGGGAGUUCAAAUCUCCCCCUGGGCA
rnacentral:tRNA from 1 species